UACGGAGGGGGCUAGCGUUGUUCGGAAUUACUGGGCGUAAAGCGCACGUAGGCGGCUUUGUAAGUUAGAGGUGAAAGCCCGGGGCUCAACUCCGGAAUUGCCUUUAAGACUGCAUCGCUAGAAUUGUGGAGAGGUAAGUGGAAUUCCGAGUGUAGAGGUGAAAUUCGUAGAUAUCUGGAGGAACACCGGUGGCGAAGGCGGCAUCCUGGACCGGUAUUGACGCUGAGGAGCGAAAGCCAGGGGAGCAAACGGG
rnacentral:rRNA from 1 species